rnacentral:rRNA from 1 species
UACGGGGGGGGUGAGCGUUGUUCGGAAUUACUGGGCGUAAAGGGCGCGUAGGCGGCCUUCUAAGUCGAACGUGAAAUCCCCGGGCUCAACCCGGGAACUGCGUCCGAUACUGGAAGGCUUGAAUCCGGGAGAGGGAUGCGGAAUUCCAGGUGUAGCGGUGAAAUGCGUAGAUAUCUGGAGGAACACCGGUGGCGAAGGCGGCAUCCUGGACCGGCAUUGACGCUGAGGCGCGAAAGCCAGGGGAGCAAACGGG